AUGGGGUGUAAUAGGGUCAAAGCCCCUCCAACCUCCAGCAUCACAUGGCAUGCCCUGGGGAUCCAGGGUCGAUUCCCGCUGCCCUAGCAGACCCAGUAAACACAGGAGCGGCUUGUUGUCUGGCAGCUUGGAGAAAACUCCACCCUCCUGUUGUUGCUGGUCUCACUGUCAGCGGUGCAUCUAGGGGGCCAUGAGUGGAAAUGAACAAAUGGUGACCCCUUUUAAAACACGUCAUGGCACUCGAUGAGACCAGCGGCCCGUAGAGCGGCUCAGAGUUGCGGGAGGUGGAGGGGACUCUGCAGCACCAGGACUGGGAAGUCGCAGCUUGAAUGCCAGCCCAACAGUACAUAAAGGUGUUGGUGCCGAAUGCUGGCUAUUUCACAAAUGCACGGCGGUGUGCAGGCCUGCUGAAAGUGGAGGUAAUUAGAGCGAUCGAGCGGCAGAGCAAACACAGAGCCACUGCAAUCAUUAGCAGAGAUGAAGAGAUGAUGAGAGAGAGAGAAGGAGGGAGAGAGAGAGACACACACACAGAGCCCCCCCAGCCUGCUCCGGCCCCCCGCUCACCUGCCCCUGUCUCCCUGCAUGGCAUCUGUUCAAGCUGCAGGAACCCAGUGCAGCGAAUCAUGUGGCAGAUGUCAGACAUAAUAUGGAAGGGUCACAUGGCCUAGGAGCAUGGCACCCAGGUGAAGAAAAGCAAAAAACGUGGCAAAAACUUGAGCAACAGAACUGCUGACACACGCUGCUUUCUCCCAGCGCUAAAAAUAGAGCGAUGCACUGCCAUCACAUACCCCGCUGUCAACCUGGCGAAUGCGGUCAGGCCUAAGCCAGGAGGGACUCCCCGUGAGUGCUGGGCACCAUCUGCCUCCAGACCACCCCAUGGAUCAGUCCCCUCUCAGAAAGCCCUGUCAUGUGACCGCAUGCUGGUCAGGUGACACGCGCAAGAGGACUGGAAGUAAGGAUCUGCAGAGUCCACCCUGAAGGUGCGCUGCUGAGAUUAAUACCGACAAAGCAGUCCUGUCCAUCUCAAUGAACAUCCUUCCUCCAGUUUCACCCUUUCACCUCGACACAAUCUCGAGUGGAAAAAAACCUGGAUAUUACACACUGUUUUCACAUAUACCAGAACUCACGUGAUACUUAUGUUGUCUUCCUGUUGAGUGUUGUGUUAUGACAUGUCAUGUUAAGCACUCCUUGGUACCUGGAUUGGGAGGAUGGUACACGAAAAUAAAGCUAACAGUUGAAUUGUUUAAUAUUUUACUAGCAUGUAUAUAGAAACAGGGAUUGAUAGUGGAGCAGAGACUUGGUGGGUGGAGUCUGCAUGCUCUCCCCAUGUCACACGGGUUUCCUCCUGUAGUCCAAAGACAACAAACUGGAGUUUGUAUGAGUGUGUGGCCCUGUGAUGGACAAGGUAUACCCCAGCCUUGUGCCAUAUGCUGCCUGGGAUGGGCUCCAGGCCCCCCAUGACCCUCAACUGGAUAAGCAGUUGGAAAAUGGAUGGUUGAGAUUUUAUCAGUAUAUUGGUUUAGUGCAGCUCUGCAAAACCCAGAGAAUUAAAAAUUUUUUGUCUUUCGUAGAUCUCAAACCUAAACAGCGUGUCUUUCCCAGAUGACUAUGAAUUUCCUCGGCAGACGAAACCUUCAGAUACAGACUUCGAACUUGAAUUGCCUACGAGGUGUGCGUUUGUUCACACAGACUAUAAAUAAACAUACAGUGUAUAACCACGGUAAUAA